CCUGGAGUGUUGAGUUCAAGAAGCUGGAAUCUUCGCCUCUCUUUAGCAAUACUGAUGUCAAGUUUCAACAGACGACAGAGGAAUAAAGUUGGUGAGAAAGAGCCAUCCCUCACCCUAGUCACAGCCAUCUGGUUUCCUUCUACAGCCUGCUAUCUCACUAAAGCUAAAGGAACAAGCUGAUCUGCUGGGAGCAAAUCAAUUUCUCAUUAUCCGUAAUGUGUGAAGAUGAAACUACUGACAGUGAUCACAGUCUUUGUCUAUGGAUAGGGUUGAAAACUCGUGUUUACAUAACAGAAAAUGUUUUCAUAUAGAAGAGAUGGAAUAGGCAUACAUGGCUGUGGGAUGCUGUGUCUUAAUGUGGAAGCUAAUUCCUCUCAACAAAUAAACUUAGUAUUUCUCUACA
rnacentral:lncRNA from 12 species